rnacentral:lncRNA from 1 species
AUACCUGCUCUCAUAAGUGGCAUCACUAUUUUGGAUGCUUAUCAUGAGUUUUAUUGAGGAGAAGAAGAGAAAUUAAUGGUGGGAUUAUUGUAGAGAGGAAACUAUAUAAUAAGGACGGCAAAGGUCUAAGUCUUCUGUGGAAUCGCUUUCAAAGCGCAAUGAAGUUAUCUACAUGACGAAAAUCCAUUAUGGAUUAUUUCAUUAGAAUUAUAAUUAUCGAGGGGUCAUCUCAUCUCGUUCCUUUUUCUUUGUUCUCUAUUGGUUGGGCCACUUCUUGGAAACCCCCAUCUCGUCUACCAUUCUACGAGAGCAAGUUGUUAUUAGCAAGGAACUUCCAAUUAUUUGCUGCCUUUGUCAAGAAAGCUCGGUUCAAAUAGUAAUUGACAAAGCUAAGCUAGAAUAUCCUUUUUUUUCUCAUCAGCGAGCAAAUAUCUAUGGAAAUCCAAAGAAACAAUUCUGGGUUGUUAUGAUCUUAAAUCAGACAAGCCUGUAAUAAAGACUAAACAAUCACAUUUUUUUAGUAAGGAAUAUUUCCUUUGUGGAAUAGGAUUAGGAAUUUAAAUAUGGAAUCCCUUUUGUACUAGAC